rnacentral:rRNA from 1 species
CCAAUAGCGUAUAUUAAAGUUGUUGCAGUUAAAAAGCUCGUAGUUGAAUUUCGGGAUCAUCAGGUUGGUCGUGCCUCUGGUAUGUACUGAUUUCGAUGGUUCCUCCUUCUUUAAGAACCGUAAUGCCAUUAAUUUGGUGUUGCGGGGAAUCAGGACUGUUACUUUGAAAAAAUUAGAGUGUUUAAAGCAGGCAAUCGCUUGAAUACAUUUGCAGGGAAUAAUGACACAGGAAGUUCGAUCCUAUUUUGUUGGUUUCUAGGAUUGACGUAAUGAUUAAUAGGGAUAGUUGGGGGCAUUAGUAUUCAAUUGUCAGAGGGGAAAUUCUUGGAUUUAUUGAAGAAUAACUACUGCGAAAGCAUUUGCCUAGGAUGUUUUCAUUAAUCAAGAACGAAAGUUAGGGGAUCGAAGACGAUCAGAUACCGUCGUAGUCUUAACCAUAAACUAUGCCGACUAGGGAUCGGAUGAUGUUAAUUUUUUAAUGACUCAUUCGGCGCCUUACG